GCGCCCUCUGAGUGCCCUUGUUUGCUUGUUGUCUAAUCUGCCCACAAAAUCACACAUCGAAUGUGCCUAGUGCCAGCUGGGCAAACAGAACAGGGGCAGAAAGCAAAGCUUUGUCAAUCUUAGCGGAUCUGUAUUUCUCGGUUGCUUCAGUGUCACAUCGGACAGCAUGACGUUGACUUCCAGGUUUGUCCUGAUGAAUAAGAUAGCGCUCCGCUGGCUGCAGAAGUGCCCGUGCUUGUUUGGAAGCUGGCUGAGUCACCGUGCGCUCUCUGGGAAGCCCGCGUUGAUGUUCCCAUGGUGCAGCUUUUGGCAAGCGAUAGAUGUGCACCUCGAAGUGAACUUCCUGGGCCUCCUUCAUCCGCACGGGGAGGACGAAGUCCAACUUCCGAUCGGUGGCGUUGCUGGGAGGCCGCGGUGAGUGUCUUUCCCUCCUGGCGCACUGCCCUCUGCCCACCGCCCACUGGGACGAGGG
rnacentral:lncRNA from 1 species